CCUACUCCACUUUUUGGCUUCCUCCUCCCACGCGAGGUCACCGGCGUCAACUAGCUGCCUUCCUUCAAUGGGCUUAAGGCCAACUGCCCUUUACAGUUUCACUCCUUUUGAUGGGCUCAGGGAGACAACCCUUACAGAACCUUUCUCUCCUCACUUUUACAAUUCAGAAACUUAAAGAACAGAAGGAGGAGACUUAAAGGCUUUACAACAAUUUUGAGCUCAAGAAUCACAGAGAAGAUCAAGAUUUGGUGUAGGUCUCUUGCUCUUUCUGUGCAGAAUGGGUGGGGUAUUUAUAGGCCCCAACCCAGUUCAAAUUUGGAGCUCAAACGAUCAAAUCCCGAAUUCGGGAUCAGCGGUUACACCUCCCCGAUCGGAGAGGUUGCACCGCCCGGCGAGCUUCGGAGAUCGAGCCGGCGGUUGCACCGCUCUGUCGGGGCGGUUGCACCGCCCGAAGUCCGGCUCUCGGAGAUCGAGCCCAGGCGGUGCCACCUCUCGACCGAGGCGGUUGCACCUAUUUGCUUGAGCUCAAGACCGAGCUCAAGGCGGUGCUACCUCUCUGUCGGGGAGGUUGCACUUCCCGCCUAGCUCGAAGACUGAGCUCUGGGCGGUUGCACCUCUUGGCUGGGGCGGUUGCACCGCCCAGUCGGGCUGGAGACAUAGCCCAGCGGUGCCACCUCCUGGCCUAGGCGGUUGCACCUCCUGGUGCAAUCAGGGUCCGAAUGGUUAGCUCCAUUCGGCCCGAUUUCAAUCUUUUCAGGGGCCCAAUUGCCCCAAGAUUAAGCUAAUGGGAUCACCUCCUAUUUUCUAACUUAAUCAACGUGCUAACUACGAUUAAAUCUAAGACAAUUUCUGCAGCUUUGCUCCGAUGCGUCAAUCGCUUCUUCCGGCGAGUUUCCGGCGAACUUCCGUCGAUAAUCCGAUGAACCCUCGGUGAUUCUUCUGCGGACUUCCGACAAACUCCUGGACUUUGCGACGAUCCACUUGGCGAGUUCCGACGAGCUUCGCUUGGCAAGCUUCUGGACUUCUCGGAUCUGUUCUCGCAGAACCUCCGACGACCGUCCGAACUUCCGUCGAACUCUCGAAAUCCCAACGUGAUCAUGAUCUUGACUCCGGCGCAACUCCUGCUGCUUGUCUAACUUUCAUCGUAGUUAAUCCUGCACAGUUAUCUCAACACAUAGAUUAGACAACAAAUGACAAUUGACUUCAUCAUCAAAAUCUGAGAUUCAACAAGCGGAUCCUAAGGGACGGGGGAAACCCGUCCGAGAGCGUGUCUCCGUGCGAGCUCCGAAAGGGAAUCGAGUUAAAAUUCCCGAAUUGGGACGCGGCGGUGGACGGCAACAUUAGGAAGUCUGGAGACGCCGACGGGGGCCCCGGGAAGAGUUAUCUUUUCUGCUUAACGGCCCACCCACCUUGGAAACUGCUCAGCCGGUGGUAGGGUCCAGCGGUUGGAAGAGCGCUACACGUCGCGCGACGUCUGGUGCACCCCCGACGGCCCUUGAAAAUCCGAAAGACCGAGUGCCACCCGUGCCAGGUCGUACUCAUAACCGCAUCAGGUCUCCAAGGUGAACAGUGUUUGGCCCAUGGAACAAUGGAGGCAAGGGAAGUUGGUAAAACGGAUCCGUAACUUCGGGAAAAGGAUUGGCUCUAAGUGCAGGGCACGGGGGUCUCGGCCCUUAACUCGUCGACUGUCGGUGGACUGCUCGAGCUGCUCUCGCGGCGAGACCGGGUCAUCGCGUGCCGGCCGGGGGACGGACCAGGAAUGGCCCCCUCGAGGGCCUUCCCCGGGCGUCGAACAGCCGACUCAGAACUGGUACGGACAAGGGGAAUCCGACUGUUUAAUUAAAAUAAAGCAUUGCGAUGGUCCCCGCGGAUGCUCACGCAAUGUGAUUUCUGCCCAGUGCUCUGAAUGUCAAAGUGAAGAAAUUAAACCAAGCGCGGGUAAACGGCGGGAGUAACUAUGACUCUCUUAAGGUAGCCAAAUGUCUCGUCAUCUAAUUAGUGACGCGCAUGAAUGGAUUAAUGAGAUUCCCACUGUCCCUGUCUACUAUCCAGUGAAACCACAGCCAAGGGAACGGGCUUAGUAGAACCAGCAGGGAAAGAAGACCCUGUUGAGCUUGACUCAUGUCCGACUUUGUGAAAUGACUUGAGAGGUGUAGGAUAAGUGGGAGCCGGUUCGUCGGCGGAAUUGAAAUACUACUACUUUUAACAUUAUUUUACUUAUUCCGUGAGUCGGAGGCGGGGCCCGGCCCCUCCUUUUGGACCCAAGGCCUGCCGAGCGGGCCGAUCUGGGCGGAAGACAUUGUCAGGUGGGGGAGUUUGGUUGGGGCGGUAUAUCUGUUAAAAGAUAACGCUGGUGUUCUAAGAUGAGCUCAACGAGAACAGAAAUCUUGUGUGGAACAAAAGGGUAAAAGCUCAUUUGAUUCUGAUUUCCAGUACGAAUACGAACCGUGAAAGUGUGGCCUAUCGAUCCUUUAGACCUUCGGAAUUUGAAGCUAGAGGUGUCAGAAAAGUUACCAUAGGGAUAACUGCUUGUGGCAGCCAAGCAUUCAUAGAGACGUUGCUUUUUGAUCCUUCGAUAUCGGCUCUUCCUAUCAUUGUGAAGCAGAAUUCACCAAGUGUUGGAUUGUUCACCCACCAAUAUGGAACGUGAGUUGGGUUUACACCGUCAUGAGAUAGGUUAGUUUUACCCUACUGAUGAUCAUGCCGUGAUAGUAAUUCAACCUAGUACGAGAGGAACCAUUGAUUCAUACAAUUGGUCAUCACGCUUGGUUGAAAAGCCAGUGGCGCGAAGCUACCGUGUGUUGGAUUAUGACGGAACGCCUCUAAGUCAGAAUCAUAGCUAGCAACUGGUGCUCUCGCCCGUCGUUCGCCUCCCGACCAACAGAAGGGGCCUUUGGCCCCCAUGGGCUCGUGUCGCCGAUGUAGCCCCCGUGGUGGUAUAGCCACGGGUGGCCAUCUGGAAGUGAAAUUC
rnacentral:rRNA from 1 species